GAUGAACGCUGGCGGCGUGCCUAAUACAUGCCAGUCGAGCGAACAGACGAGGAGCUUGCUCCUCUGACGUUAGCGGCGGACGGGUGAGUAACACGUGGAUAACCUACCUAUAAGACUGGGAUAACUUCGGGAAACCGGAGCUAAUACCGGAUAAUAUAUUGAACCGCAUGGUUCAAUAGUGAAAGACGGUUUUGCUGUCACUUAUAGAUGGAUCCGCGCCGCAUUAGCUAGUUGGUAAGGUAACGGCUUACCAAGGCAACGAUGCGUAGCCGACCUGAGAGGGUGAUCGGCCACACUGGAACUGAGACACGGUCAAGACUACUACGGGAGGCAGCAGUAGGGAAUAUUCCGCAAUGGGCGAAAGCCUGACGGAGCAACGCCGCGUGAGUGAUGAAGGUCUUCGGAUCGUAAAACUCUGUUAUUAGGGAAGAACAAAUGUGUAAGUAACUAUGCACGUCUUGACGGUACCUAAUCAGAAAGCCACGGCUAACUACGUG
rnacentral:rRNA from 1 species